GGCUUUUUUUAUUCUCCAUAAUAUAAAAUGACUAUUUAACAUAUGUUGAUGACAAGUUUUCUAGUUCAUUCACUUGCUUCCAGCAGUUUUUCAAAUCAAACACACAAUUUAUCAUUCUCCUAGUUCAUAAACUUUUGAGCUAUCAGCAACACUGCACUGAUCAGUUCAACUACUCUAAAAUAUAUGUUUCCAAGUACUCUCCUUUCCCCCAGAGAUGAAAAAACUUAGUCAAAAGACAAUCAGUAGCCCAAAUUUCUCUGCAA
rnacentral:lncRNA from 1 species